AGAGUUUGAUCCUGGCUCAGAUUGAACGCUGGCGGCAUGCCUUACACAUGCAAGUCGAACGGCAGCACGAGAGCUUGCUCUUGGUGGCGAGUGGCGAACGGGUGAGUAAUAUAUCGGAACGUACCCUAGAGUGGGGGAUAACGUAGCGAAAGUUACGCUAAUACCGCAUACGAUCUACGGAUGAAAGUGGGGGAUCGCAAGACCUCAUGCUCAUGGAGCGGCCGAUAUCUGAUUAGCUAGUUGGUGGGGUAAAAGCUCACCAAGGCGACGAUCAGUAGCUGGUCUGAGAGGACGACCAGCCACACUGGAACUGAGACACGGUCCAGACCCCUACGGGAGGCAGCAGUGGGGAAUUUUGGACAAUGGGCGCAAGCCUGAUCCAGCAAUGCCGCGUGAGUGAAGAAGGCCUUCGGGUUGUAAAGCUCUUUUGUCAGGGAAGAAACGGUGGACUCUAAUACAGAUCACUAAUGACGGUACCUGAAGAAUAAGCACCGGCUAACUACGUGCCAGCAGCCGCGGUAAUACGUAGGGUGCAAGCGUUAAUCGGAAUUACUGGGCGUAAAGCGUGCGCAGGCGGUUGUGCAAGACAGAUGUGAAAUCCCCGGGCUCAACCUGGGAAUUGCAUUUGUGACUGCACGGCUAGAGUGUGUCAGAGGGGGGUAGAAUUCCACGUGUAGCAGUGAAAUGCGUAGAGAUGUGGAGGAAUACCGAUGGCGAAGGCAGCCCCCUGGGAUAACACUGACGCUCAUGCACGAAAGCGUGGGGAGCAAACAGGAUUAGAUACCCUGGUAGUCCACGCCCUAAACGAUGUCUACUAGUUGUCGGGUCUUAAUUGACUUGGUAACGCAGCUAACGCGUGAAGUAGACCGCCUGGGGAGUACGGUCGCAAGAUUAAAACUCAAAGGAAUUGACGGGGACCCGCACAAGCGGUGGAUGAUGUGGAUUAAUUCGAUGCAACGCGAAAAACCUUACCUACCCUUGACAUGUCUGGAAUCCUUGAGAGAUCAGGGAGUGCUCGAAAGAGAAUCAGAACACAGGUGCUGCAUGGCUGUCGUCAGCUCGUGUCGUGAGAUGUUGGGUUAAGUCCCGCAACGAGCGCAACCCUUGUCAUUAGUUGCUACGAAAGGGCACUCUAAUGAGACUGCCGGUGACAAACCGGAGGAAGGUGGGGAUGACGUCAAGUCCUCAUGGCCCUUAUGGGUAGGGCUUCACACGUCAUACAAUGGUACAUACAGAGGGCCGCCAACCCGCGAGGGGGAGCUAAUCCCAGAAAGUGUAUCGUAGUCCGGAUUGUAGUCUGCAACUCGACUACAUGAAGUUGGAAUCGCUAGUAAUCGCGGAUCAGCAUGUCGCGGUGAAUACGUUCCCGGGUCUUGUACACACCGCCCGUCACACCAUGGGAGCGGGUUUCACCAGAAGUGGGUAGCCUAACCGCAAGGAGGGCGCUCACCACGGUGGGAUUCGUGACUGGGGUGAAGUCGUAACAAGGUA
rnacentral:rRNA from 1 species